AUUGAACGCUGGCGGCAUGCCUUACACAUGCAAGUCGAACGGCAGCACGGACUUCGGUCUGGUGGCGAGUGGCGAACGGGUGAGUAAUGUAUCGGAACGUACCUUUCAGUGGGGGAUAACGUAGCGAAAGUUACGCUAAUACCGCAUAUUCUGUGAGCAGGAAAGCAGGGGAUCGCAAGACCUUGCGCUGAUUGAGCGGCCGAUAUCAGAUUAGCUAGUUGGUGGGGUAAGGGCCUACCAAGGCGACGAUCAGUAGUUGGUCUGAGAGGACGACCAGCCACACUGGGACUGAGACACGGCCCAGACUCCUACGGGAGGCAGCAGUGGGGAAUUUUGGACAAUGGGCGCAAGCCUGAUCCAGCAAUGCCGCGUGAGUGAAGAAGGCCUCGGUUGUAAGUACGUCUUUCUAGUCGAGAAG
rnacentral:rRNA from 1 species